rnacentral:rRNA from 1 species
AGAGUUUGAUCAUGGCUCAGGACGAACGUUGGCGGUGCGCUUAAUGCAUGCAAGUCGAGGGAGAACCAGUCGUUCCGUAAGGUUCGGCUGGGGAAACCGGCGAACGGGUGCGUAACACGUGAGGAACCUGCCCCGAAGAUCGGGAUAGCCCGGGGAAACCCGGAUUAAUACCGAAUAUCCUCUUUGGACCACAUGGUCUGUUGAGGAAAUAGUCCGCUGCUUCGGGAUGGCCUCGCGGCCUAUCAGCUUGUUGGUGAGGUAAUGGCUCACCAAGGCAAAGACGGGUAGCUGGUCUGAGAGGACGAUCAGCCACACUGGGACUGAGACACGGCCCAGACUCCUACGGGAGGCAGCAGCAGGGAAUAUUGCACAAUGGGCGAAAGCCUGAUGCAGCGACACCGCGUGCGGGAUGAAGGCCUUCGGGUUGUAAACCGCUUUCAGGAGGGACGAAAAUGACGGUACCUCCCGAAGAAGGCCCGGCCAACUACGUGCCAGCAGCCGCGGUAAUACGUAGGGGCCAAACGUUGUCCGGAUUUAUUGGGC